AAUUUGAUACGAAAAGUGCUGUACACCUGGGGAGAUCAAGGUUCAUUCUUUAACGUGAAUAAGCAAUAAGGAAGCCGGCAUAAGAAGGCUACUGGCAUCGAGCUGACAAUUUACUAUAAAACUGUUAGAUUUCACGCCUGGAAUGAUGAUUUUCCCAGCGUUGUUAAUUUGGCUGAUUAUUGCGACUACCCUCACCACCCCCAAUGGAGGUGAAUCGACAGUAACACGUCUCAGUUCCACCUGUGACUUAAAUUGUCAAUCCAUUUCAGCAAAGUGCCACCGUGACUGCCUAACACUUCACAAAGGCAAGGACUGCCAUCUUACCUGUGGAAAAGACGGAGUGCUUGGGGAAUGCAGACAUCUAUUUAAUUGUUGAUGAGUUCUUUUUAAUUUGAACUUUUGUGUAUCACCUUGCAAGGAAAUGCUUAUGAAAGAAAUAAAAAGAUGAUUAUCAAUA